GUGCUCGCUUCAGCAGCACAUAUACUAAAAUUGGAGCAACACAGAGAUUAGCAUGGCAUUUGCACAAGGAUGACAUGCAAAGAGUAGACAAGAGAUAUAUAACC